rnacentral:snRNA from 1 species
GGAUGGGAGUGUGAUCUGGCUGGAACAUCUGUCACCCCAUUGAUCGUUUGGCAGAUCUGCCUGGCGAGGCAGGCGUCCCCUUCCUCACCUCUCCACAUGUGUCCUUCCCAAGGCAGUGUUGAUGAAGAUGACCACCCCCAGACAGAAGAUAUAGAGUAAUGUUCCCUUGCUCAAGAACAUACAAGUAGCUUCACUCCCCUGCCAGAACCUCCAAACAAGCUCUCAAGGCCAAAAACCAAUUCCUUUUAUCCAAUUCAGAUUUUAUCAGAGUUUCAUGUAAUAACAUAGAGGUACAUCACUGAUAGAAUUUAAAUUUUCUUUCAC